rnacentral:rRNA from 1 species
UGGGGAAUAUUGGACAAUGGGGGGAACCCUGAUCCAGCCAUGCCGCGUGUGUGAAGAAGGCCUUAUGGUUGUAAAGCACUUUAAGCGAGGAGGAGGGUACUGGUAUUAAUACUACCAGGUACUGGACGUUACCCGCAGAAUAAGCACCGGCUAACUCUGUGCCAGCAGCCGCGGUAAUACAGAGGGUGCGAGCGUUAAUCGGAUUUACUGGGCGUAAAGCGUGCGUAGGCGGCUAAUUGAGUCGGAUGUGAAAUCCCCGAGCUUAACUUGGGAAUUGCAUUCGAUACUGGUUAGCUAGAGUGUGGGAGAGGAUGGUAGAAUUCCAGGUGUAGCGGUGAAAUGCGUAGAGAUCUGGAGGAAUACCGAUGGCGAAGGCAGCCAUCUGGCCUAACACUGACGCUGAGGUACGAAAGCAUGGGGAGCAAACAGG